rnacentral:rRNA from 1 species
AUUGAACGCUGGCGGCAUGCCUUACACAUGCAAGUCGAACGGCAGCACGGGAGCAAUCCUGGUGGCGAGUGGCGAACGGGUGAGUAAAGUAUCGGAACGUGCCCAGUCGUGGGGGAUAACGUAGCGAAAGUUACGCUAAUACCGCAUACGAUCUAUGGAUGAAAGCGGGGGAUCGCAAGACCUCGCGCGAUUGGAGCGGCCGAUAUCAGAUUAGGUAGUUGGGGGGGUAAAGGCUCCCCAAGCCGACGAUCUGUAGCUGGUCUGAGAGGCCGACCAGCAACACUGGGACUGAGACACGGCCCAGACUCCUACGGGAGGCAGCAGUGGGGAAUUUUGGACAAUGGGCGAAAGCCUGAUCCAGCCAUGCCGCGUGCAGGAUGAAGGCCUUCGGGUUGUAAACUGCUUUUGUACGGAACGAAAAGGUUUGGCCUAAUAAGCUGAGCUCAUGACGGUACCGUAAGAAUAAGCACCGGCUAACUACGUGCCAGCAGCCGCCGUAA